CAGAGCUGCGUCCUCCGCAGCCCGGGGAGCGCGCUGGUCUUCCUUGUUUUCAGAAAAAGGGAAACUGAGGCAGGAGGCUGUGAAGUUGCUUCCCAGGUCUCACUGACCACCUGGUUCUAGGGCCCUUGCUCAGUCACCGAAUAGCGAUCCUGCCACUCAAGAGGACAGAAAGGCGCCUCUGUCCUCAUGGUGCUAACGCGCACGGGGCAGGGGCUGGGCAGGGCAGAGGUCGGUGGUGACGCUCACGCUGGGCAAGUGCGGGGCCCUGGAUUCCACCUCCAGCCAGAAGAUAUCAAAGCAGAAGCAGCAGAGUGACCCGGCCUCGGUCCCAGGGGCCCUGGUCACUAAGUGUGUCUGUCCCCACCCAUUUCCACCCUGAGCAGCUCGUGAGGGUUCGGCGGUGUCCAGUUUCACCACGGGCAUGCCAGCCGCACCAGCGGGUGGAGGAGGCCACCGGGAUCGGCCACAGAGAAGGCCCGGCCGCAGCUCCACCCAGCUGCACAGGCACAGCUGUGAGGAUCGAGGGGCCCAGAGAGACGCUGCCCGGGGUGCUAUGGUCCUCGGGGAGGGAGGCGAGAUCCCUGCGACUCAGAUCUGGCCUCUCUCACCUCUCAGCCUCGUUCCCAGCAAGAGGCCACAGCCCUGCGGAGCCCCGACCCUCCGCCCGACCAGCACGGCCGGCAGCCCCCCGGGGAGCUGAGUCCCUUCAUCCCCGGGAGGCUUGCUGUGCGCCAUGGACGGGUCCCGCCCAGCACUGGACUCCCGGGACAGGAAAAGGCAACCACUUCCCAGGAGCACUUGGUGGCCGAGCCAGAAUUGCUAGAAAGAACUGGGAAGGAGGGGCGGAGACCCACUGGUGAUCAGGAGUGUGGCCAGUGGGCAGGGGACAGCAUAAAGGUUCACAGGCUCGGUCACUGGCUCACUCACCCCCGGGGAUGUUCGUGACAGUGGGCCCAGCAGGUGCCUCUAGGGACAGCGUGGGCACCUGGCUGGGACCAUCUCUGACUUGUUCCCUGAUGAUCCCCCAGGGCUUCAAGUCCCGAGAGGCUCACAGCAAGAACUCGGUAACCCUCAGCUACUUCAGUGACGCUAAGGGACAGGAAGGAACGGAAGUGCCUACCGACAGCCUCCACCUGGGGCUCCUGCAGCACAGACAUGCUGGGACCCAACCCAGACCCAGGGGGCGUCCAGGGGGACCAGGACACGGGGCACCCCCGACCCCCGCCAAGGCGUGAGUCCCGCCCAGUGUGAACUCCUCUGCACCCAGGGACAGCUCAGCUCAGAGGGGUCGAGACCUCGUCCUGGACGCAGGAAGCGGUUGCCCCAGGAUCUGAACUCGGGCUGGGCUGCACCCGCCAGGCACCCCGAGCUGGCGCAGCCUCCGUGCCUCCUCGGGGCAGAGAGCCGGAGGACGCCGAGCGGUCAGCACACGCAUGGAGCAGAGCCUCAGGGUCCCCUUUCCUUUUCCGUCCUGACCCCCGGAGGGCUCGUGUCCCCACAGGGGAUGAGGGUCUCCGGGAGGGUGUGGGAGGCCCCCGCCUUUUGCUCCUGACCCACGUAAGCUCUGGCCACCAAGUAGCUGCUUGGGGGCCAGUGGACGGGGUGGGCGGGGCUGGGAGCGCCGUGCUUGUCAGGUGGGCGGGAGGCCCAAGGGCAGCUGCAGGCCACUGGCUCUGCGUCACCUGGCCCCGUCCUCCUUGCUCCCAACCCCGACGCCGAGACGCCUAGGGCAGGGUCGGGCUGAGGGGAGAACGGCAGUUUUAAGCUUGGCCUUUGAGUGCCAGUUGGGUCUGCCCAUCACUGCAGGCAGGGGGCAGGUGACCAGCGAAGGGAGGCUGGGCAGAGGGGGCGUCCCGAGGAGUGACCGAGCGCUCGCCAGGCACCGGGCUGAGGUCUGAUGCACGUCACCGUCACCGUGUGGAGUCCUCACACCACGAGCAGGACGGCCGGAGUCCCCUUCAAAGGGGGGACACUGAGGCCCAGAGUCAGCACCCUGGAGAUGAGUAGGAGCUCAGUGAAGGUCUGCCGCUCGACUCUUAGGAAUCUCUUGGCCCGGCCUUGAAUGGAGAAACCCAAGCUCCGGUCCUGGUUCUCUCACUAGCUUGCUGUGUGCCUGUGGGGCGGCUACCUUUGUACACACUUUAAACCCGGCACCAGAGCUUCCGGAACCUUCCAGGCUCUUCCUGCCAAGAUGGCUGCAGAGGGUGGGGGAGGCCCUCCCCACAGCAGAAGGCAAAUACCCAGAAGGGAAGCGCAGGCCCCCGGCCACGGGGCCAGCAGGGGCAGGCUUGGGAUCACAGGUGCAUCCAGGGGAGGCCACUUCUGGACCCAGGUGGUGAAUGACAGGGACGUGCGCUGCGGGGCCUUUCUGGCUUUGGCGGAAGGUAAGUGGACGCGUGGAGCCCGGGAAGCGGGGCUGGGAAUCCAACAGACCUUGAAACCCAUUUCCAAAGGCUGGAAAGCGCGUUCUGCUCCGAGCUUCCUGUUUGACAGGCUAAACCUAAGGACAGUGAAAGUCACGGUCCAAGCGGCUCCGUCAUUGCCACCACAGCGCGGGGGUCGGGCCCCGCCUGCUCCAUUUUGUAGCUGAAGGAAACUCUUCCAGAGCAGGAAGACCUGCCCAGAGCUGCACCAGGAGCCAAAGGUCACACCACCUAAAAGUCAGGCUGUUCCAAGGUCCCACUGCUGACGCGGUGGCUUCGUUCAAGGUCCGUCUGCGGGUGCCAGGUGGCCACUCAGGGCCGGAGCUCGUCCCGUGGCCACACACUGGACUCCCACGGUUCACCUCAGCCGUUCUCAAAGUGGCUAUCCCACUCCUCGGUUUAUACCCAAAGAAAGGACUUAAAAUCAGCAUACUAUGGUGACGAAGCCACAUCCAUGCUCACAGCAGCUCAGUUCACAAUAGCUAAGGUAUGGACAAACCUAGGUGCCCUUCAACAGAUGAAAAGAUAAAGAAAUGUGGUACAUGUACACAAUGGAAUAUUACU